GAUGAACGCUGGCGGCGUGCCUAAUACAUGCAAGUCGAGCGAACGGACGCGAAGCUUGCUUCUCUGAUGUUAGCGGCGGACGGGUGAGUAACACGUGUAUACCCUACCUAUAAUACUGGGAUAACUUCGGGAAACCGGAGCUAAUACCGUAUAAUCUUUUGAACCGCAUGGUUCAAAAGUGAAAGACGGUCUUGCUGUCACUUAUAGCUGGAUCCGCGCUGCAUUAGCUAGUUGGUAAGGUAACGGCUUACCAAGGCAACGAUGCAUAGCCGACCUGAGAGGGGGAUCGGCGACACUGGAACGGAGACACGGUCAAGACUCCUACGGGAGGCAGCAGUAGGGAAUCUUACGCAAUGGGCGAAAGCCUGACGGAGCAACGCCGCGUGAGUGAUGAAGGUCUUCGGAGCGUAAAACUCUGUUAUUAGGGAAGAACAGAUGUGUAAGGAAAUGUGCACAUCGUGACGGUACCUAAUCAGAAAGCCACGGCUAACUACGUG
rnacentral:rRNA from 1 species